CUUUGAUAUUUAGUAAAAGUUACUUUAUUGUGCAAGAAAUAAAAGCAAAAAUGCAAUAUUAGGAUUUGUAUCUAUUCUAUAAAAGAGAGCCUUAGGACAUUCCUCCCUACCUCUGAAUGACAUGCUUUUUAAUUAUAGUACCCAAAUUAGGUUUUAUCUUUAAGAGGCUGCAUUUCUUCUCUAAUUCUAGGUGCCAAUGGGUCAUGUUUGGUUAGAAGGUGACAAUCUACAGAAUUCUACAGAUUCCAGGUGCUAUGGACCUAUUCCAUAUGGACUAAUAAGAGGACGAAUCUUCUUUAAGAUUUGGCCUCUGAGUGAUUUUGGAUUUUUACGUGCCAGCCCUAAUGGCCACAGAUUUUCUGAUGAUUAGUAAGCAUUUAUUCUUUUGACUUGAUUAUUGUCUCCUUUUCAUGUGAAUUUAUUACUCCCGUUGAAACCGUGUACUUAUCAAUAAACUAUUUGCUAUUC
rnacentral:sRNA from 1 species